rnacentral:lncRNA from 1 species
AGAGCAGAAGAUUGCUUAAACCUUUCUAAUUUGUGACCUAUGAUUGUGCUCAGUUAAAUGUGAUAUUAAGGUCAAGGUCUAACAUAAAGUCACAGAGUACACCACAAAUUCAUUACUACAUUUUAAUUCAUGUAGUGACACAUCUAAGAACAUGCUUCUUUACCUUUGACCCUCAGUUGUAAAGGAAAUCCAUCUGUUCUUACUAGGUUAUGCAAACCCCUGGAGACUAGAUUGCUAGGACUGUUAAGGAUAAAGAAGGUCACCAUAAGGAGACAUCUGUAUAAAUACUCUGUCAUUAAUAUUCUCCUUCAUAAUGAAUAUCGUCAAAAAAAUAAGGACCACAGUCAACAAUGUCUCAUGACAACUUUCAGAGUAGAGGACACAUUGAGGGGUAUUUAUAAAGUCCAUUCCACUUUGAAGUGUUGCUUAGGUACAAUUAAGUGGAUCAAAUAAGGCACCUAAAUUUCCUCCACAGUUAAUAGCGACAGGUACCGUCGAGGCAGUGAUUUACCACUAGUUAGAUGCUGAGGAGGCAAAUGCAAAAACUGUCUUUGUUCUGAAAAACAAUAUAUGUCAGCAAGAUGAAAUGGGCACUGAGCAGCAAGAGAAAAACUGAAGGAGAAAAGAAAGUACUAAAUUAUAGUGACAAUUAGGAAGUAUUAGAAAGGGCACUUAAACCUACCAAUACAAAACUCCCUUAAGCUCAGAGAAUUCCAAAAUGAAAUAUGUUGACAUUUUUGUAGUGACUUGUGAAAGGAUCCCCCCAAAGUGUCCUACAUUUCUCCUAAAGUGUCCCACACUGGGUGUGAUUCGGCUCAUGAUUUUACACACUGAAAGACCGACAUCCUGCACUGGUCGUCCAGUUACUGGAAAAAGACACAAAUAUUUCCAAGAAGAGGUUUACUCACAGUGUUUUUCCUCCUUGGUUAGAGAUGGAUCAGGAUUAGCUAGCCUGCAGGAGGCAGGAGCUCGUAAAUAUGAUGAUGACAUUUCAAGAUUCAUGGAAGUAAAGAACUCUACAGAAAUUCUUUGUAAAUUGGUUAGAAGUGAUGGGAAAAAGAUCCAACAUAAAAGUUUGUUUUAGAUGCAUUUCCAGAUAUUUAUGUUUCUAAAACACUGUAUUUUGUGCCUCUGUUGGGAAAGACCAGAAGAAAAUGUUAUCUUGAUUUCUUGAAUAUUGCAUGUUACACAUAGAUUAUGCUUCUUCUUAAGUGCAAUAAUUUGUUACAUAGAUUAGAAAGAAUGUGGAAAAUAAAAGUAUAUAUAAGUCCA